rnacentral:misc_RNA from 1 species
GCAAACUUGGUCAUUUAGAGGAAGUAAAAGUCGUAACAAGGUUUCCGUAGGUGAACCUGCGGAAGGAUCAUUAUCGAAUUGUCAAAACUUGGCUGUCGCUGGCUUGUCUUUUUUUAUUGAGAUUUGCAUGUGCACGCUUAGUUUAAACUUUUCAUUUCAAUCUACUGUGCACUUUUGUGGAUUAUAGACAGAUAACCUUUUUCAAAGUAACAUUUGGUUUUGGAGUUUGCAGUUUGCUUUCUCCUACUAUUUGUCUAUGAUUCAUGUUUUUUUUUUUACUACAAACUAUUUAUUAUCAACCUAGAAUGCUUUUUUUUCGAGUUGGGACUUUAUUGACCCUUCUCAAAAUCUUAUACAACUUUCAACAACGGAUCUCUUGGCUCUCGCAUCGAUGAAGAACGCAGC